UGAAAUCUGGCUCUCGGGCCCGAGUUGUAAUUUGUAGAGGAUACUUUUGAUGCGGUGCCUUCCGAGUUCCCUGGAACGGGACGCCAUAGAGGGUGAGAGCCCCGUCUGGUUGGAUGCCAAAUCUCUGUAAAGUUCCUUCAACGAGUCGAGUAGUUUGGGAAUGCUGCUCUAAAUGGGAGGUAUAUGUCUUCUAAAGCUAAAUACCGGCCAGAGACCGAUAGCGCACAAGUAGAGUGAUCGAAAGAUGAAAAGCACUUUGAAAAGAGAGUUAAAAAGUACGUGAAAUUGUUGAAAGGGAAGCGUUUAUGACCAGACUUGGGCUUGGUUAAUCAUCUGGGGUUCUCCCCAGUGCACUUUUCCAGUCCAGGCCAGCAUCAGUUUUCCCCGGGGGAUAAAGGCGGCGGGAAUGUGGCUCUCUUCGGGGAGUGUU
rnacentral:rRNA from 1 species